AUUGAACGCUGGCGGCAGGCCUAACACAUGCAAGUCGAGCGGAGCGGCGGACGGGUGAGUAAUGCCUAGGAAUCUGCCUGGUAGUGGGGGAUACGUCCGGAAACGGGCGCUAAUACCGCAUACUAUCAGAUGAGCCUAGGUCGGAUUAGCUGGUUGGUGGGGUAAAGGCCUACAAAGGCGACGAUCCGUAACUGGUCUGAGAGGAUGAUCGGUCACACUGGAAGUGAGACACGGUCCAGACCCCAAGGGGAGGCAGCUGUGGGGAAGAUUGGAAAGUAGGCGAAACCCAGAUCCAGCCAUGCCGCGUGUGUGAAGAAGGUCUUCGUAUUGUAAAGCACUUUAAGUUGGGAGGCGUGACCAACAGAAUAAGCACCGGCUAACUGCUGGCCAGCAGCGCGGUAAUAC
rnacentral:rRNA from 1 species